GACGAACGCUGGCGGCGUGCUUAACACAUGCAAGUCGAACGCUGAAGCUUGGUGCUUGCACUGGGUGGCUGAGUGGCGCACGGGUGAGUAAUACGUGAGUAACCUGCCCUUGACUCUGGGAUAAGCCUGGGAAACUGGGUCUAAUACUGGAUACGACAUGCCACUGCAUGGUGGUGUGUGGAAAGGGUUUUACUGGUUUUGGAUGGGCUCACGGCCUAUCAGCUUGUUGGUGGGGUAAUGGCCUACCAAGGCGACGACGGGUAGCCGGCCUGAGAGGGUGACCGGCCACACUGGGACUGAGACACGGCCCAGACUCCUACGGGAGGCAGCAGUGGGGAAUAUUGCACAAUGGGCGGAAGCCUGAUGCAGCGACGCCGCGUGAGGGAUGACGGCCUUCGGGUUGUAAACCUCUUUCAGCACGGAAGAAGCGAGAGUGACGGUACGUGCAGAAGAAGCGCCGGCUAACUACGUG
rnacentral:rRNA from 1 species